GACAUACUAUUGGGUCUCAGGCUACGGAGGAUGCACCGCGACUAUCCUUCGUGGCCUCCCAUAUCCCAAGAUGCUUUUCGCGCCUCUGUUCAAGGCUUUUCCUCACAACGGCGGCAAGCACCGGCACCAGUAGCAGUACUAAAUACACCUUAAAAUGGAGCAAGGAGCAAACGGAGGAGUUUAUUAAACUCCGUGGUGAAAACAACCACCUGUUCACAGGGGCCAGGAAUAAAGCCACACUCGGAUGGAGAACAGUCCGUCAUAAAAUGGUCCUGGAGGGAAGAGUGGAGCCUCAACAGGCAAAAAAAGUGGGACAACUUAAAAAAAAAUACAAAUAAAGUAUGUGCAGGUUUGGAUAAUGAUAUGGAAACUACAUUUGUUUUACCCAAGUUAAUACUUUGAUAAAGAAACGUAGAAAAAACACCAAGGCACUCUGCCAUAGUAGUUACAGAGCCUUUAUUCUUUAUUCCUUGAAUCUGUUUAACUUCCUGAUGAAGGCUUGAUGCUGAAAUGUGUCGAAGGACUGUGUUUUUAAGGUUUAUAUGACCAUGCCAUAAGAAUAAAGGCAUUUAACUGCUUUGGGAGAAAAAACUCCAAGGCCUUGGAGUUUUUUCUUGGUCCAAGGCCUUGGAGUUUUUUCUUUGUUUCUUUAUCACUACAUGAAUCCCAUUCCAAAGAGCACCUCAAACAUACCUCUUU